GACGAACGCUGGCGGCGUGCUUAACACAUGCAAGUCGAACGGAAAGGCCCUGCUUUUGUGGGGUGCUCGAGUGGCGAACGGGUGAGUAACACGUGAGUAACCUGCCCUUGACUUUGGGAUAACUUCAGGAAACUGGGGCUAAUACCGGAUAGGAGCUCCUGCUGCAUGGUGGGGGUUGGAAAGUUUCGGCGGUUGGGGAUGGACUCGCGGCUUAUCAGCUUGUUGGUGGGGUAGUGGCUUACCAAGGCUUUGACGGGUAGCCGGCCUGAGAGGGUGACCGGCCACAUUGGGACUGAGAUACGGCCCAGACUCCUACGGGAGGCAGCAGUGGGGAAUAUUGCACAAUGGGCGGAAGCCUGAUGCAGCAACGCCGCGUGCGGGAUGACGGCCUUCAGGUUGUAAACCGCUUUCGCCUGUGACGAAGCGUGAGUGACGGUAAUGGGUAAAGAAGCACCGGCUAACUACGUGCCAGCAGCCGCGGUGAUACGUAGGGUGCGAGCGUUGUCCGGAUUUAUUGGGCGUAAAGGGCUCGUAGGUGGUUGAUCGCGUCGGAAGUGUAAUCUUGGGGCUUAACCCUGAGCGUGCUUUCGAUACGGGUUGACUUGAGGAAGGUAGGGGAGAAUGGAAUUCCUGGUGGAGCGGUGGAAUGCGCAGAUAUCAGGAGGAACACCAGUGGCGAAGGCGGUUCUCUGGGCCUUUCCUGACGCUGAGGAGCGAAAGCGUGGGGAGCGAACAGGCUUAGAUACCCUGGUAGUCCACGCUGUAAACGGUGGGUACUAGGUGUGGGGUCCAUUCCACGGGUUCCGUGCCGUAGCUAACGCUUUAAGUACCCCGCCUGGGGAGUACGGCCGCAAGGCUAAAACUCAAAGGAAUUGACGGGGCCCCGCACAAGCGGCGGAGCAUGCGGAUUAAUUCGAUGCAACGCGUAGAACCUUACCUGGGUUUGACAUGGAUCGGGAGCGCUCAGAGAUGGGUGUGCCUCUUUUGGGGUCGGUUCACAGGUGGUGCAUGGCUGUCGUCAGCUCGUGUCGUGAGAUGUUGGGUUAAGUCCCGCAACGAGCGCAACCCUUGUUCACUGUUGCCAGCACGUUAUGGUGGGGACUCAGUGGAGACCGCCGGGGUCAACUCGGAGGAAGGUGGGGAUGACGUCAAGUCAUCAUGCCCCUUAUGUCCAGGGCUUCACGCAUGCUACAAUGGCUGGUACAAAGAGUGGCGAGCCUGUGAGGGUGAGCGAAUCUCGGAAAGCCGGUCUCAAUUCGGAUUGGGGUCUGCAACUCGACCUCCUGAAGUCGGAGUCGCUAGUAAUCCCAGAUCAACAACCCUGCCGUGAAAACGUUUCCGGG
rnacentral:rRNA from 1 species